rnacentral:rRNA from 1 species
GAUGAACGCUGGCGGCGUGCCUAAUACAUGCAAGUCGAGCGAACAGAUGAGGAGCUUGCUCCUCUUACAUUAGCGGCGGACGGGUGAGUAACACGUGGGUAACCUACCUAUAAGACUGGGAUAACUUCUGGAAACCGUAGCUAAUACCGGAUAAUAUAUUGUACCGCAUGUUUCUAUAGUGAAAGACGGAUUUGCUCUCCCUCAUGGAUGAAUCCGCUCCGCUUUAGUUAUAUGGUAAGGUAACGGCCUACUAAGGGAAGGAUCCGUACCCGACCUGAGAGGGGGAUCGGCCACACUGGAACUGAGACACGGUCCGAACUCCUACGGGAGGCAGCAGUAGGGAAUCUUCGGCAAUGGGGGAAAGCCUGACGGAGCAACGCGGCGUGAGUGAUGAAGGUCUUCGGAUCGUAAAACCCUGUUAUAAGGGAGGAACAAUUGUGUAAGUAAAUAUUCACGUCUUGACGGUACCUAAUCAGAAAGCCACGGCUAACUACGUG